UAUGGGAAAUGGGAAAGGUGAAUGUUAAUAAUACGCUAUUCAAAUUUAAACAUAAAGGCGUAUAAUGUCCACAAAUUCUGAAGAUCCUUUAACUUUACAGAAAAAGUUAUACUUUUUGUUGGAACAGUUACAAAGUAUGGCAAGAGAGUUGCAGCCAAAAUAUCAAAUGAGGCUGCCUUAUGAACUGUUAUCAAGUCUUGCCAAUUGUCUGUUGAAUGAAACUGUUUUCGAAAUUGUGAAAGGUCUUUUAGAAAUACAACAUGUCACGGAGCAACAUCUUUAUCAACAAAGAUUGCAGUUCAUAAACCAAAAGAAAAUUCAAGAGCAAGAAAUUCUCAAGCAGUAUGAACAUGAUGUAGAUAAGAAAAUUGAGGAACUCCAAAAAUUGAUGUUGCAACAAAAAGAGGAAUUGAAGGCAUUUGAUAUGAAUCUCGUCCUACAAUUAGACCAAAAAGUUGCUGAUCAGCAACAAAUCCUCGAGCAAGCAGGAGUUCCAGGAUUCUACAUUACAAAAAAUCCACUAGAAAUCAAAGUACAGAUGCACUUACUUGAUUUUCUUUUGAGGCUCAGCAGAAUGCAAAUUCCUGUUUAGUUGUUCUCAUAUACUAGUCAUAAUGGAUUUCCGAAACUUCCAAAAUAUAGUAUCAAGAUGACUAGAUUUGAAAGGAAAAAAAUCAGAAAAUACGUGGAUUCAAUUUACGUAGGAGUAAUACCUACAGGAAGAAACAAUCAAUACCGUUAUCAACAAUUUGAAUGAAGACUCCAAUAAAUUCUCAAAUGCUCCUGUGAUAUGGCUCAACCAAAUUAAAAAAACAAACCAUCAUGAAAAUAAUUUACCUUAACCCCUUGUACAAACAAAUGACGAAGAAGAGUAUCUGUAGGACAGAGACUUCAAAGGAGGUUGAAACAUAUUUCUAUUAAGGAGACACGGAUUUUAUACCAUCAUACGUCAACAUCCUAUUUUAUUCUGUUUAAUAUAGAUUUUGGUUAAAA